rnacentral:misc_RNA from 1 species
AAAUGAUAUGCUCUAGGGUAUACUGCUAACAGUGGGUUGAUGGUGAACAAUGCUCGUUAAGUAAGCCUCUAAACAUUGAUUUAGUCUCUCUGUUUGCCCAUCUGAUUGGGGAUAAUAGGCAGAACAUUAGGAGAGAGGAGUACCCAAUUUCUUAAAAAACUCUUUCCAAAUCAAGCUGGUAAAGAGUUUAUCCCUGUCACUGACAAUGGACACAAAACUCCAUUGAGCUUGCAAGUGUUGUUAUGGGCCAAAAGCAAGAAAUGGCCAAAUUUUGUAAAUCUCCAUACCACUACUAAAAUAGUAUCAUUUCCUCCUGACUUGGGCAAUUACUCAAUGUUCAUGUUGAGGUUCUGCCAUGCUUGAGUUGGUAGUGGCAAUGGCUAUAGCAAUCCAGGCAUUGCACAAGUCUCUCCUUUAGUGUGGUUUUGACUUGACGAUUCCUCUCCUCUCUUGCUUUCAGUUCCUUGCUUUUUUAGAAUUGAUAUCUUGGGGUUCCUACAAAAUAAAACACGAAUAAAUAUAGAACAAAAAUCAAAAUAAGAAGGAAAAUUCAGAAAAAUUUGGGUUGCCUCCCAAAAAGCGCUUUUUAUAGUUUUUAGCUGGACUUUGCUUUUAUUGUUCAUAGUCUGUCCGGAGAGUUGUCAAAGGUGCAAUUGACUCCCCUCUCUAUGGGUUCUCCCUCAAAGUAAGGCUUCAGCCUCUGCCCAUUGACUUUAAAUGCGCUUGAGGUUUCGCUCCACACUUCUACUGCUUCAUGCGGGAAGACUUGGGUUACCUUAAAAUGCCUGGACCAUCUUGAUUUUAGCUUCCAUGGAAAUAGUCAAUCUAGAGUUGAACAACAGGACAAGAUCUCCGUCUUUGAUUUCCUUCCUCGAGAUGUGCCUAUCGUGCCAUCUUUUG